rnacentral:lncRNA from 1 species
AUUCUAUAUUGUGUCUUGUGUACUUUCGUUUGACUGUCUUUUUCUGUUUUUUUUAUCUAUGCGUUUGACUGUCCCUCUGUUAUAUUUCGCCACUUUUUGACAAGCAGUUCAACGUUUCAUAAUUAAAACGUAUAGUUAUGAUUAAUUUAUUACAUACAAUCUGAGUUCAGUAUAUGUAUUGUGACAUAUUUUAUCAUAUUAUUAAGCUUUGGACAUACGAGGGUCAUACAAUUA